rnacentral:lncRNA from 1 species
GUGGUCAAAUAUUGCUGUCAAGUUUCCACUAUGUAGCCCAGAAACAGUCAGUCAGAGUCCAGUGCUGCCACCUUCUGGUCUGUGGAGGAAUAACAAAUGGAAGCAUUCGCUCAUUAAGACAAUAGGUCAUAACUUUUAUGCACAGUGGCGUGUUUCAAAUACAAACUUACUUGAAGGUGAAAUUAAAUUAAAGGUGAACUUUUCCUGUCCAGGAAUCAAAGAUCACAAGGCAAGAACUGAAGGUGGAGGACAAAGGGGGCUCAGCGAAAAUUUCAAAAGGACAGACGGAGGAAAUGGAGGGACGUUGCCACGGCAACAGAUGAGGCCUCAGUCAGCGGGAGCAAACAAAUACACAGGGAGCCUGGACACACAAACACACAAAAAGAGACACACGCUGGAGGCCAGAGCAAAACACACGGCACCGGGCAGGGGUACACACACACACCUGCAGCCAACAGGGACACGCACACGUCAUCGUCAGGUAGGCUUUACACACGAAAACCAGAAAGCAUCUCCGUCUGAAUAAAGAUUCAAUCUGAGAAAACAGAAAAGUCACCAGUUUUCAUAUGACUAAAAUUAAUGAUAAAAUUAAUCAUGUUUACCGGGUUUGUUGCUGAGGCGCCAGCCAACAGACGUAUGUCUGUUCCUUUGAAGAAACUGAUUUCACACUUGAUCAGAAAUCGAUCCAGCAGCAAGUCAUAAGAUAUCAGGGACGGUUAUUAGAGCAUGUGUGUGUGUGUGUGUGUAACAUUACUGCUGUUGCUGUGUCUCACAUGAAUAUGAUUAUCUCUAGCUUUAGUAGCGUCUUAUGAAAGCCAGCGUUUCCUCAUCCAUGGAAAUCCCGAUUCAUCCUCAGACGUGUUCUCUGUGUUGUUGUCGUUACGCCCGUCAGCCAGCAGGGGGCGCUGCACCCGACUGGCUGUGUCUACCUGAUGAGGUGUGGCUGUCCAUCCUGUCUCUGUUGCCUCUCAGUCACCUGUACGAGGUGGUUCAGGUCUGCAGCCGCCUCCACGCGCUGGCCACAGAUCACACACUGUGGAAAAGACUGAGCGUUGCAAACUCCACCCUGACGGAGCGGUGGCUGCUGUGCGUGGGCAAACGGCGUCCUCGCAGCCUGUGUCUGCGCAGCUGCAGCAGCCGCUCGGUCACCGCCUCCGGCCUGGAGAUGUUUUUCCUCCUGAGCAGGAAGACGGUGGAGGAAGUCAGCGUCACCGGCUGCAUGGGCGCUGGUCUCCAUGGCGACCACGUGCUCGCCCUGGUCGGCCGGCUGUGCGGCGGCGUGACGAGCGUGGACGUGAGCUGGAGCGGCGCCACGGACGGAGGAGUGACGGCGCUGAGCGAGGGACGCGCCGGGUCCGUCGCUCCAGCGACACAACGCGUCGCACGACCGGAGACGCGGUUCGACCGCGAGGAGGCCACGGGCAGGGUCAAUGACGCGCUCGUCUCUCCCGCAGGUUGACGCUGACGUCGGUGGUUCUGAACGGCUGUCACGUCACCGACGCGCCGCUGCAGACGCUGGUCCGGAGGCACAAGCAGAGGUCGGUCCCGUCCCCCGACGCUCCGCUGUCACAUUCACGCGCGUGCACGGACGCCGGCCCAACGCCGCUGCUGUGUGUCAGUCUGUGCAGGCUGGAGGUGUUCGGCUGUCAGCUCCUCACGGCGACCUGUCUGCAGACGGUGUGCGAGGUGCUCCGCCUUUAGAAGCUAGAGACCAGAAUGCACAACCACAGCAAAAGAAACGCUGCUUCACGGCACAACAUGCUCCCACGGCUGGUUUUCUGCUCUGUGCCUUAGAUGUGUCCUGGUCUUAAGCAUCUGAAUAUCGGGCAGCUGCCGAGAGUCACCAAACACAGUCUCGCCGUGAUGACGUCGCACCUUAAAGGCCUCGUUUCUCUGAAUCUCACUGGUCUAAAGGCUGUAGGUUUGACCUGCUUUGCGUCGUUACAUUGCUUCAUGAUGUUUUACUCACCUGGGUUUUGCUGCAGGUUACGGAUGCGAUGCUGGACGCUUUGCUUCAGAGCUGCGCUGCACUUCAGAGUCUGACGCUCAGUUCCUGCCCCGGAGUCACCGAUCUGACGCUGCACAACAUCGGCAAAUACACACCGUGUAUCAGGUACAGACACACCACUGGAGGGCUAAUGUCCAAAAUACUUCACCUCUUUUGCCUUCGUUUGUCAGAUGCGUAGACGUGAGCGGCUGUGGGGCGGUCACAGACGUAGGAGUUCAGUCGCUGACGCUGGGAUGUAAAAGACUCCAGCAGCUGGACCUCAGCUCCACCGGCACAGGAAGCAGAGGGUAGGACAUGCAGUGUCUGUCAAUGGGAACCUCAUUCCCCGAUGACUCCCACAAGCACUUGGAGAAACCACGUGUGUGUUUGCGCGUGUGACGCAGCAUCACUCUGCUGGCGAACGGCUGCAGCCAGAACCUGCAGACUGUCAAGCUCAGCUUCUGCCACAUCGGCCUAGACGACAUACUGGAGCUGUGCAGGCGCUGCAGAAGGUAGAGACACACACACACACACGCACACACACACACACACACACACACACACACACACGCACGCAUACACACCUACAUGCACACGCACGUGCACGCAUGCACACACACAAACACACACACACACACACACACACACACACACACACACACACACACACACACACACACACACACGCAUGCCAUUCUCCUGUUCCUCUCUCCAGGUUGAGAGUGCUCCAUCUCUACGGUUGUCCCCAACUCCCAACUGAGAGAGACAUCAGAGACGUCAACAGUGACGUGACCGUUUCCCCGCUGUCCUGACUCACCUGCAAACAUCUGCACACAGCUGGACGUAGAAGCUUUUACGAUCAUCCCGUGUACAUGGGCUGAACAACAACAGGGACAUGUGUUGCUGUGCUGGGCUCUGAGUUAUUUGGGUGGUUCCGAUUCGAUCAGGCUCGUUAUCUUGUUCUCUUUGCUUCGUUUUUUUUAGUCACCCCCGUGCUUUUGUGAAAAACCAUAAAAAUUUUUUCACAGCAGAUCGUCUUUUACUGCUGGAGUGGGUUCUAAAUUAAUUAAGCUGUGCCGACAUGCAGGCUUCACCUGCUGCACAACGUGAUGCCAGACUGAGUGGAAGAAGAUACUGCACGCUGCAUAUAUUGUAUGCAAAUAAAAAACUAUUACAUUAUUUAUUUGCA